AUGACGGAGGAAGAUGAAUGGGCGGGCAUCAUGACCAUGCAGAUGCCUAUCGUGCCUGAUAUGGAUGAGUUCCAGGAUUAUGAGGGGCCAAGAACUAAGCCUGGUCCUUCCACGACGAUGCACCCUAUUCGAGCGAGGUACAUGCAGGACUAUGAGGAAAAGCAACGGAAGAAAAAGCUCGGAAAAACUGUAAAAAUUGACAAAAAAACCGAUAAAAAGCAAUAUUUUCUUACGGAUAACCUAAAAAAGUUAGAGCGGUACAAGAUCAUGCCAGAACUGAUGUCCUGGCCACCACAUCUUCAUAUUCAGGAUGGGUCACUCGCAGACAACGGGAAUGUAGUCACGCAACAGCAAUUGCUUAAAGCACCGAAUAUCUCGUGGGCUGCUGAAAUGGACACCGAACACACGGAAGUAAUCAUGGACUUAGAUGACAAUGUUGAUAGGAGUCGCGGUGUGCCACCAAACGUUUCUGAGAUUCAAUAUGCGUACUGGGCGUCAGGAAAUAUACCAGGUGCAUCACUAGAGAAAGGUCAUGAAAUUGUGCCCUAUGAGGCUCCGAGAAUAACCGACGAUUGGCAUGGAGAAGUAGAACCCAUGGAAAUUGAUGUCACGGAUGAAGAAAUGGAGGUGGAUGGGUCACUCGCAGACAACGGGAAUGUAGUCACGCAACAGCAAUUGCUUAAAGCACCGAAUAUCUCGUGGGCUGCUGAAAUGGACACCGAACACACGGAAGUAAUCAUGGACUUAGAUGACAAUGUUGAUAGGAGUCGCGGUGUGCCACCAAACGUUUCUGAGAUUCAAUAUGCGUACUGGGCGUCAGGAAAUAUACCAGGUGCAUCACUAGAGAAAGGUCAUGAAAUUGUGCCCUACGAGGCUCCGAGAAUAACCGACGAUUGGCAUGGAGGUACAUAUUUUCGUUAUGAAAUGAAAAAAAAAGGUGUGAUACCUAUUGCCGACAACUUCUUGUAUAUUCUGAGUUUAGUUCAAAUGGGCCUGUUGCAUGCAAGAGAUACAGCCGCGCGAAUACACUUCUUAGAGGUUAAAUGA
rnacentral:lncRNA from 1 species